GCGGCUGUGAUGGAAUGGAAGACAUGCGGGUCUAAGAAGCCCGUGCAGCGCAAGCUCAUUUGCGGGUUCGAGUCCCGCUGGCCGCA
rnacentral:tRNA from 1 species